rnacentral:rRNA from 1 species
UACGUAGGUGGCAAGCGUUGUCCGGAUUUACUGGGCGUAAAGAGCGCGCAGGCGGUCGUUCAAGUCGAGUGUGAAAGCCCCCGGCUCAACUGGGGAGGGUCACUCGAUACUGAUCGACUCGAAGGCAGGAGAGGGAAGUGGAAUUCCCGGUGUAGUGGUGAAAUGCGUAGAUAUCGGGAGGAACACCAGUGGCGAAGGCGGCUACCUGGCCCAAUACUGACACUCAGGUGCGACAGCGUGGGGAGCAAACAGG